rnacentral:rRNA from 1 species
CGAACGACUGGGCGUAAAGCGCGCGUAGGUGGUUUGUUAAGUUGGAUGUGAAAUCCCCGGGCUCAACCUGGGAACUGCACUCAAAACUGACAAGCUGGAGUAUGGUAGAGGGUGGUGGAAUUUCCUGUGUAGCGGUGAAAUGCGUAGACAUAGGAAGGAACACCAGUGGCGAAGGCGACCACCUGGACUGAUACUGACACUGAGGUGCGAAAGCGUGGGGAGCAAACAGGAUUAGAUACCCUAGUAGUCC